rnacentral:lncRNA from 1 species
AAGGAAGGAAGGAAGGAAGGAUGUUACGAACGAAGGAAGGAAGGAAGGAAGGAAGGAAGGAAGGAAGGAAGGAAGGAAAGAAAGAAAGAAAGAAAGAGAGAGAAAGAGAGAAAGAGAAAAGAAAGAAAGAAAGAAAGAAAGAAAGAAAGAAAGAAAGAAAGAAAGAAAGAAAGAAAGAAAGAAAGAAAGAAAGAAAGAAAGAAAGAAAGAAAGAAAGAAAGAAAGAAAGAAAGAAAGAAAGAAAGAAAGAAAGAAAGAAAGAAAGAAAGAAAAAGAAAAAGGGAGGGAAGGAAGGAAGGAAGGAAGGAAGGAAGGAAGGAAGGAAGGAAGGAAGGAAGGAAGGAAGGAAAGAAGGAAGGAAGGAAGGGAGGGAGGGAGGGAGGGAGGAGGGAAGGAAGGAAGGAUCCCUGGUAUAGUGAAAACAGACAGAGAUAGAUCAGUAAAGCUGGAGGGGAGCUUAAAUAAUAGUGAUGCUUCAUUUCACUUUAGACUCAGGUGUUUCACCCAUUUCCUCCAUGGCCUUAAGAGCACCUCUACCUCUGAAAAUAUCCUUUUUUCCUUUAUUCCCCACUCCAAUUCUGGAACCAUUUCUGUCAUUAUCUUAUUGCUUUAGGAAACUUUUAUUGAAGUUUGCUAAUAUUAGUGGUAACAGGCAUUUUUGCUUUACAUCUGAUCUUAAUGGAAAGAUGUCUAAUUUUUCUCUAUUCCAUGUUUAUUUAUGGUUUUAGAUAAAUAAUAUGUAAUAUAUUAUGAAAAGUUCUAUUUAUUCCUAUGCUUCCUACUAUAUCUAACAGAAAAAGGUGUUGGAUUUUGCCAAAAUCAAUGUAUUAAUAUAAUAAUUUCAUUCUUAUUAUUUAUAUUAAUAUAAUGUUUAUAUUAAUGUUACAUAUAUUAACAUACCUUACUGUAAUUAGAGUCUCUCUCAUAUUGAUCCAAACCUGCAUUUCUGGUAUAAAUCCAACUUGAUCAUAGUGUAUAAUCUUUCUAAAAUGUUGCAAUGAAUUUGUUAAUAUUUUAUUUUAAAUGUUUGUGUCCAUUUUCAUUGGAGAUGUUAGUUUAUAGUUUUUGUUUUCUGUCUUGUUCUUCCUGAUUUAGGUACCAGGGCCAUAUUAAUAUCACAGAAAGAGAUUUGAAAGACACCUUUUUUCCUUAUUUUUGUAAUCAGUUUAUAUAAUAUUGUAAUUACUUUUCUUUGAAUUUUGAUACAAUUCACUUAUAAAUCAUCUGGUCCUGGAAUUUUUAUUUCCUUUGGGAGUUC